CCCAAUGGUUGUCAGCUAUCCAGGCUAGUGUGAUGCCUGGGGUGGUGUUACACUGUUGGGAGAACAAGUGCUGCCUUUGUUGAGGUCUGGCUCCAAGCACUGUUUUGGUGUUGAGGUUAGUACCUUUCGGUAGCAUUUGCACCUCUGAGAGUGGAGUGACUCCUCCUGUGGAGUUGGUCCUAGUCUGGGUGCAAACAAU
rnacentral:snoRNA from 12 species